rnacentral:rRNA from 1 species
CAGCCGCCGCGGGAAUACGUAGGUGGCAAGCGUCGUCCGGAAUUAUUGGGCGUAAAGGGCUCGCAGGCGGUUUCUUAAGUCUGAUGUGAAAGCCCCCGGCUCAACCGGGGAGGGUCAUUGGAAACUGGGAAACUUGAGUGCAGAAGAGGAGAGUGGAAUUCCACGUGUAGCGGUGAAAUGCGUAGAGAUGUGGAGGAACACCAGUGGCGAAGGCGACUCUCUGGUCUGUAACUGACGCUGAGGAGCGAAAGCGUGGGGAGCGAACAGGAUUAGAUACCCCCGUAGUCCCUGUCUCUUAUAC